AUAAAUUAACGGAGGGGGAAUGUAAGGGAUAAGACAUAGUAUUUGUAUAUAGAUAGAAACAUGCCAUAGGAGAGUGUUCCUUCAAAUUCUAAAGAGUUUACUGUUGCUAUUAAAGCCUAAGAAACUAACACACCAGAGUGAAAAUUUCAUUCACAUUCCUUAGGCAUAAAUAGUAUACCUCACAUAUCUAUAUGUGAUAUUUUUUUCUUCACAUUCCUACUACGUAUAAGAUAAUCUGAGUAUUGCUAUCCACUCACCUGAACAUUAGAAUGGAAAUCCUUCAGCAGCGUUCAUAAGUUUGACAAGUAUAAAAAAGAGGUCAAGUGGAUUAAACAAGUUGUAGAAACUAGUAUAAGAGCAUACAACACAGUUAAAAUUAAAAACAAAAGUUAACUUAGCAUCACUUUUUAAU